GAGGGUAUAGCUUAGUGGUAGAGCACAUGCUUACCAUGCACGAGGUCCUGGGUUCAAUCUCCAGUACCUCCA
rnacentral:tRNA from 1 species